CGCGUGAGGAACCUGCCUCAAAGAGGGGGACAACAGUUGGAAACGACUGCUAAUACCGCAUAAGCCCACGGCUCGGCAUCGAGCAGAGGGAAAAGGAGCAAUCCGCUUUGAGAUGGCCUCGCGUCCGAUUAGCUAGUUGGUGAGGUAAUGGCCCACCAAGGCGACGAUCGGUAGCCGGACUGAGAGGUUGAACGGCCACAUUGGGACUGAGACACGGCCCAGACUCCUACGGGAGGCAGCAGUGGGGAAUAUUGCACAAUGGGGGAAACCCUGAUGCAGCGACGCCGCGUGGAGGAAGAAGGUCUUCGGAUUGUAAACUCCUGUUGUUGAGGAAGAUAAUGACGGUACUCGACAAGGAAGUGACGGCUAACUACGUGCCAGCAGCCGCGG
rnacentral:rRNA from 1 species